CAUAACUCGAGCCUCAUUAAACACCGAAGAAUUCACACUGGAUAAUGGCCUUGUGAAUAUUGAAAAGUGGGAACUUAUUUACCUUUAACUCCAGGCUUUUAAAACACCAAGUCAUAUUGCAUGAAGGCCUUAAGAGUGUUUCAAAUGUGGGAAGUAAUUUACCCAAAUCUAGCUCUGUUACAUCCAGAGAAUACAGUAGAGAAAGGCCUUUUAAAUGCAGUGAAUGUGAGAAGGCCUUUUGCUGAAGGAUUUACUUAUUGGAUACCACUGAUUUCAGAUGGGAGAUCUGCCUUAACUCUGCAGGUUCAGAAUUCAACCUGAAGAGGGGAUCCUUGUGACAACCUUCACUGCUUCUGAGAGCAACAUGAACCUCUCUUGUUCAUAGGGACUGUUUUAUGCUCAGCACUGAGUGCAUCUGUUCUAAAAGGUCCACAACGUUUAGUACCUAUGGCUGUAAAAGAUGAGCAGGUACAGAAAUUCUUCUGUAGCUGAGAGUCCUGUCAGAAAAUAAUCUG